rnacentral:rRNA from 1 species
AACGAACGCUGGCGGCAUGCCUAACACAUGCAAGUCGAACGAGAUCUUCGGGUCUAGUGGCGCACGGGUGCGUAACGCGUGGGAAUCUGCCCUUUGGUUCGGAAUACCAGUUGGAAACGACUGCUAAUACCGGAUGAUGACGAAAGUCCAAAGAUUUAUCGCCAGAGGAUGAGCCCGCGUAGGAUUAGCUAGUUGGUGUGGUAAAGGCGCACCAAGGCGACGAUCCUUAGCUGGUCUGAGGGGAUGAUCAGCCACACUGGGACUGAGACACGGCCCAGACUCCUACGGUAGGCAGCAGUGGGGAAUAUUGGACAAUGGGCGAAAGCCUGAUCCAGCAAUGCCGCGUGAGUGAUGAAGGCCUUAGGGUUGUAAAGCUCUUUUACCCGGGAUGAUAAUGACAGUACCGGGAGAAUAAGCUCCGGCUAACUCCGUGCCAGCCGCCGCAGUAA